ensembl:lncRNA
AAAGCAAAUAAUUAUUUUGUUGCAGGCAAAAAAGCAUUGAAGUCUUCAGUGAGGUUCAAUCCGAAAGCAGUUACAGAUUACAGUAUUCUCAACUGUCAUCGACUAUCCUGCGCCUCGGGACUCCACUGUUCCAGCUUUGCCUCGUCCCUCUGGCUCCGUCAGGCUCCUUCAUCCCCUCGGCUUCUCCUUAGUCCCCUGUCGCUCUGGUUCCACCACGGCCUCCCGGAUCCACACCUUCGAGUCGGUCGCCAGCGCCAUCUGCUCCGCCUAGGACCUCCGGAUCAUCCCCAUUGUGCUGGCCUAUCAGCUUUCUGUCUCUGCCUUGGGCUCCUCCACCACCUGCUCCGCCACUGUUGGUUGCCCCCCUGGAGUCGGCAGUCAUUUGUACAUCUCUCUCUCUCUCUCUCUCUCUAUAUAUAUAUAUAUAUAUAUAUAUAUACACAUUUAGUCAUUUAGCAGACGCUUUUAUUCAAAGCAACUUACAAAAAAUGAGGACAAUGGAAGCAAUCAAAAUCAACAAAAGAGCAAUGAUAUACAAGUGCUAAUAACAAGUCUCAGCUAGUUUGAUGCAGUACACAUAGCAAGCGUUUUUUUUAAAUAAUAUAAUAAAUAAAAAGAAAAAAGAGAAUAGAAAAAGAAUGGAGCAAGCUAGUGUUAGAGGUCUUUUUGCUUUUGUUAACUGUACAAUAAAUUAAAAGACAUGUGUUAGUUUAUAUAUAUAUAUAUAUAUAUAUAUAUAUAUAUAUAUAUAUAUAUAUAUAUAUAUAUAUAAUGUUUUUGUUUUUUGCAAAUAUGAUUUAUUCUGAAGCAAUAUUUUCAUCAGUUUUUGAUCAGCUGUGACAAAUCUGCAAGGUUUUUUUUUUCAUUUAGAGGGCAUUUUCUCUCAACUUCAUUAUACUUCAUCUUUCAUUUCAAAUUCUUACAUUUAAUCUAUAAAUUCAAUAAUAAUAGUGUUGUUAUUAUUGUUAUCUAUACGUUAUCAAUUUGAAUAAAUUGUGUUUAAUAAGUGAGUCAUUGAGUUGUUCAUUCAAGCGAUUCGUUCAAACAAAAAUUUCUCCUGGAGAGGCUGUGUGAGCCUCGCCUCAGCAGCACAACUUUAUAGGCAUUAUAUACAGUAGCUAUAUCCACUAUACACCACUUACUCUAAAUGUAAUAAAAACAGAAUGAUUCUUGCAUUUUGGUGAUUGCCUAGUUAUUUUUGGUUAUUGAUGUUUUAAUCAAGUUAGUUAAUGACGUUAAUGAUGCGUUAAUGUCAAGCCCUGGAGUUUAUGUGCUGGGGUUCAAACCCCGGCCCAAUUUAUACCCUGCUUAUACAUGUAUUUGCAUCACAUUUAGAAAUAAACAAAAAUAAAAUAUCCAUGUUCAUUUUCUGCAUUAUAACAACCCCAGCAUAUUUAAGGGGUCCCUAUAUGUUACAGCUGAUUGUCCAUCUAGACACCCGACACAGUGGCGGGUGUGAAGGAAUAUUUAUUUAACUAUGUUUAAUGAAGUGUCUCUUAUAUUGUUUUGAUGGGGAUUAAUAUCCCUAAUAUAGAUCAUGUAAUUUAUUUUUUAAGUGCUUGUUUUUAUAUAAAACAUUUACAAACAUCUAUUCUGUAUUCUAAAGAAAGUUAUU